UAUUUCCUUGGGCUAUUACUAGGGUUUUAUUUUAUAUGUCAUGUUACGUUGCAGUUUAGACUCACCGAUUGGGAAGAACUUAGUGAUGGCCAUGGCCUGCCAAGUUUUGGACAUCUAUAGACCUUUGUCCAGAUCUCACCAUCUAUGAGCGAAAAAACAAGCAUGCUGCAGCCACCACCAAACUCAUAGGAAAAAGAAACAAACUGAUAUUAAUUGCUGCCAUCGGCUAUAGAAAAUGCUCUAAGCUUAACUAAGCAAGGAUUCAACAACUGAGAGUACUCCAUGUAUCUAGAGCUACUGGAAAACUCGAAUCUCAAUCAGUGCCUAGCAUCUAAGGGCUUCACCGAGUCACUAUAAGGCAUGCACAGUUGGGAGCACACUUUCCAAUUCCCACGCAACACAAACUGCACAGUGCAUGACAUCACCGACCAACACAAUCACCAAAUUCAAAUAAUCUAAGUGCAUAUCCACCAAGUCAAUAAACCACACAAGUAGCCAAAAUCAAGCACACACCAUGUCCGCUGAUACACAUAGAUCAGAUAAAAUAUACAACGUGGGACAACAACGAGUAGAACAUGGUGGUGUCGUGGCAGAUUGGGCUCUCCCAACAGCUGAUUGCUCUUCGUAGCAUGGUUUCUUGGUUUCCUUCAGUAUUUUAGAGUUUCUAACUCAGUUUCUUACAAAAGAAACAAAAUCAUCCUAUCUCUUGCAACAUUUUUCAAUGGCUUUCUAGAUAUGGGCGGGCGUAGGACUAUAUAUAUAAUAGACAUUAGUAUUGAUUUAGCUUAAAAGUUAGUAAUCAUGCAAACCGUUGGUGCAAGGCAUACAAAAGAAGAAAACUGAUCAUGCAUAUCAUUUAUUUAUCAUGACUGCACUCCAAUCUGAUCCAAAAGUACCAGUGUGCAAGCCAG
rnacentral:lncRNA from 1 species